UUGCCACAUAACCGCGGGCACGGCUUUCCGGAAGAUUUAACCCUGCAGGGGUGCUCCAACUAGUCCAUCACAAAUUACCACAAGCCGCAUAGAAAUCCUCAAUCACGAAGCUCGCGAUCUCGUCGGAUUCCCUAGUGGAAAACCUCAACUCUGAGAUUACCCAAAGCAUCACCGGAAUCCCGAUGCACAAGAUAUCUCGUCAAAGGUAAAAC
rnacentral:lncRNA from 1 species